rnacentral:SRP_RNA from 1 species
ACCAGGCACAGUGGCGCAUGCCUGUAGUCCCAGCUACUCAGAAGGCUGAGGCUGGAGGAUCACUUGAGUCCAGGAGUUCUGGGCUUGUAGUACGCUAUGCAGAUCGGGUAUCCGCACUAAGUUUGGCAUCAAUAUGGUGACCUCCCAGGAGCAGGGGACCAUCAGGUUGCCUAAGGAGGGAUGAACUGGCCCAGGUUGGAAACGGAGCAGUCAAAACUCCCAUGCUGAUCAGUAGUAUGAUUGUGCCUGUGAACAGCCACUGUACUCCAGCCUGGGCAGCAUAGUGAGACCCUGUCUCUA